rnacentral:rRNA from 1 species
UGCUAAUACCGGAUAUGACUCUGCGCGACAUCACGCGGAGUGGAAAGUUUUUUCGGUUAGGGAUGGGCUCGCGGCCUAUCAGCUUGUUGGUGAGGUAACGGCUCACCAAGGCUACGACGGGUAACCGGCCUGAGAGGGCGACCGGUCACACUGGGACUGAGACACGGCCCAGACUCCUACGGGAGGCAGCAGUGGGGAAUAUUGCGCAAUGGGCGAAAGCCUGACGCAGCGACGCCGCGUGAGGGAUGAAGGUCUUCGGAUUGUAAACCUCUUUCAGCAGGGACGAAGCGAAAGUGACGGUACCUGCAAAAGAAGCACCGGCUAACUACGUGCCAGCAGCCGCGGUAAUACGUAGGGUGCAAGCGUUGUCCGGAUUUAUUGGGCGUAAAGAGCUCGUAGGCGGUUAGACACGUCGGAUGUGAAAACUGGGGGCUCAACCCCCAGCCUGCAUUCGAUACGGUCUGACUAGAGUGUGGUAGGGGAAACUGGAAUUCCUGGUGUAGCGGUGAAAUGCGCAGAUAUCAGGAGGAACACCGAUGGCG